UGCACGCGAGUGCGAUAAGGGGACUCCAGGUGCGAGGGCAUAUAGUCCUCGCUUUCUCGACCGUAGGGAGGUCGAGGAACAAGUGCUGGGCAAGACCGGUGCCAGCCGCCGCGGUAAUACCGGCAGCACAAGUGAUGACCGCUGUUAUUGGGCUAAAGCGUCCGUAGCUGGCCAGACAAGUUCAUCGGGAAAUCUGUGCGCCUAACGCACAGGCGUCCGGUGGAAACUGCCUGGCUUGGGACCGGAAGACCAGAGGGGUACGUCUGGGGUAGGAGUGAAAUCCCGUAAUCCUGGACGGACCACCGGUGGCGAAAGCGCCUCUGGAAGACGGAUCCGACGGUGAGGGACGAAAGCUCGGGUCACGAACCGGAUUAGAUACCCGGGUAGUCCGAGCUGUAAACGAUGUCUGCUAGGUGUGACACAGGCUACGAGCCUGUGUUGUGCCGUAGGGAAGCCGUGAAGCAGACCGCCUGGGAAGUACGUCCGCAAGGAUGAAACUUAAAGGAAUUGGCGGGGGAGCACUACAACCGGAGGAGCCUGCGGUUUAAUUGGACUCAACGCCGGACAUCUCACCAGCAUCGACAGUGUGCAGUGACAGUCAGUGUGAUGAGCUUACUUGAGCCACUGAGAGGAGGUGCAUGGCCGCCGUCAGCUCGUACCGUGAGGCGUCCUGUUAAGUCAGGCAACGAGCGAGACCCGCACCCUUAAUUGCCAGCAACACCCUUGUGGUGGUUGGGUACAUUAAGAGGACUGCCAGUGCCAAACUGGAGGAAGGAACGGGCAACGGUAGGUCAGUAUGCCCCGAAUGUGCUGGGCGACACGCGGGCUACAAUGGUCGAGACAGUGGGAUGCAACGCCGAAAGGCGACGCUAAUCUCCGAAACUCGAUCGUAGUUCGGAUUGAGGGCUGAAACUCGCCCUCAUGAAGCUGGAUUCGGUAGUAAUCGCGCCUCAGAAGGGCGCGGUGAAUACGUCCCUGCUCCUUGCACACACCGCCCGUCAAAGCACCCGAGUGGGGUCCGGAUGAGGCCCGGUUCCGGGUCGAAUCUGC
rnacentral:rRNA from 1 species